GCGGAUGUAGCCAAGUGGAUCAAGGCAGUGGAUUGUGAAUCCACCAUGCGCGGGUUCA
rnacentral:tRNA from 1 species